rnacentral:lncRNA from 1 species
AUGUUUCAUUUUCCCCUUCAACUCAAUUCCCUCUUUCACUGCGUCCUUUCUCUAAUUCAUCUCUCUAACUCCUUUUUUCUCUAAAUGUUUCAUAUUCCCCUUCAACUGUGUCCUUUUUCUAAUUCAUCUCUCUAAGGGCACCUUUCUCUCUAAACCUUUUUUUUCUCUCUCUAAUCAUGUCCACUCUUUUUUUUUUUGACAAAUGUUCCAUAACAUUAUUAAGAAAAAAGGAUUACAACGAGAUUAAAUAAUAAUAUCAUCCGAAAUAGUUAAAUAUUGCAAAGACACACCUCAUCUUACCAAAGAAUCUGCCACUUCAUUACCCCAGACAUUUAAAUUGCGGAUCAUCACUAUAAUCUCCAUCCAUUCCGGUCUUAACUUUCACGUUGUUCUCGGUUUGUGAGUGCACUAAUUAAAUACAUUCAAAGAGUUACACUCAAUCACACAAG